GACUCUUCAAAACGAGGACUUUAUUGGUAAUGUAGACCAGAAUUGGAACGAACUGUCAUUCACUGGUAUAGCAUUAACAAAGCAGGGAAAAUAUGCAGCAGCAACUGAAAUCUUUAAUUUCCAGGCAGGUGACAUCUUUAAGAGCACCAGAGGUCAUAGAAAGGGGUAAUGAGACCCAUUGACAGAGUCAGGACUUACUUUGAAACCUUGAUGCUGGAACCAAAAUUUUCAGUUAUUGUUAUCAUUUAUCAACAUUAUCAGAUCUGGAGCCUGAGUAAAUGCAGGAUUAAGACCUGAGAAAGAAAACGAGCCACUGUAAAGGGUGUGUGGAAAACGUAUGAGUUUUGAACCUUAAUAGAGUACCAGGCUCCAAGUUACAGAUCUACUCACAGAAAUCAUGAUCAAGAGAAGUGCACAGUGAUUCUUGUAAGACUGACUAAUGAAAUCAGACUUAGAAGCAAUCUCUAAAUAUGCAGAUCUAAAUAGAUCUA